rnacentral:rRNA from 1 species
AUUAAGGUACUGAAAUGCAAGAUCUAACGGUGAAGGAGAGCUUGCUCUUUGGAUCAGUGGCGAACGGGUGAGUAACACGUGAGCAAUCUGCCCCUGACUCUGGGAUAACAGUUGGAAACAGCUGCUAAUACCGGAUAUGAGACGUGACCGCAUGGUCGACGUUUGGAAAGAAUUUCGGUCAGGGAUGAGCUCGCGGCCUAUCAGCUUGUUGGUGAGGUAAUGGCUCACCAAGGCGUCGACGGGUAGCCGGCCUGAGAGGGUGACCGGCCACACUGGGACUGAGACACGGCCCAGACUCCUACGGGAGGCAGCAGUGGGGAAUAUUGCACAAUGGGCGAAAGCCUGAUGCAGCAACGCCGCGUGAGGGACGACGGCCUUCGGGUUGUAAACCUCUUUUAGCAGGGAAGAAGCGAAAGUGACGGUACCUGCAGAAAAAGCGCCGGCUAACUACGUGCCAGCAGCCGCGGUAAUACGUAGGGCGCAAGCGUUAUCCGGAAUUAUUGGGCGUAAAGAGCUCGUAGGCGGUUUGUCGCGUCUGCUGUGAAAACUGGAGGCUCAACCUCCAGCCUGCAGUGGGUACGGGCAGACUAGAGUGCGGUAGGGGAGAUUGGAAUUCCUGGUGUAGCGGUGGAAUGCGCAGAUAUCAGGAGGAACACCGAUGGCGAAGGCAGAUCUCUGGGCCGUAACUGACGCUGAGGAGCGAAAGGGUGGGGAGCAAACAGGCUUAGAUACCCUGGUAGUCCACCCCGUAAACGUUGGGAACUAGUUGUGGGGUCCAUUCCACGGAUUCCGUGACGCAGCUAACGCAUUAAGUUCCCCGCCUGGGGAGUACGGCCCGCAAGGCUAAAACUCAAAGGAAUUGACGGGGACCCGCACAAGCGGCGGAGCAUGCGGAUUAAUUCCGAUGCAACGCCAAAGAACCUUACCAAGGCUGGACAUAUACGAAAAACGGGCUAAAAAUAAUCCAACUCUUUGGGACACU